rnacentral:rRNA from 1 species
GAUGAACGCUGGCGGCGUGCCUAACACAUGCAAGUCGAGCGGCAGCGAGGGGUGCUUGCACCCUGUCGGCGAGCGGCGGACGGCUGAGUAACGCGUGGGAACGUGCCCCAAAGUGAGGAAUAUCUGCCCGAAAGGGUAGCUAAUACCGCAUAUUAUCUUCGGAUCAAAGGAUUUAUCCGCUUUGGGAGCGGCUCGCGUCGGAUUAGGUAGUUGGUGAGGUAAUGGCUCACCAAGCCGACGAUCCGUAGCUGGUCUGAGAGGAUGACCAGCCAGACUGGAACUGAGACACGGUCCAGACUCCUACGGGAGGCAGCAGUGAGGAAUCUUCCACAAUGGGCGAAAGCCUGAUGGAGCAACGCCGCGUGCAGGACGAAGGCCUUCGGGUUGUAAACUGCUUUUAUAAGUGAGGAAUAUGACGGUAACUGAUGAAUAAGGAUCGGCUAACUACGUG